AUUGUUUCUCAGUCUUUUGGCUAAGAUCAAGUGUAGUAUCUGUUCCGAUCAGUUUAAUAUCUGAUAUGUCCUGGAUCCGAAGACAAUACAUUAAAUGGAUUUUUGGAGUGGGGAGGUGGAAAAGGAGUUUGCUCCGUCCACUCUAUGCAUUGACCUGGCAUUGCAGUACUCCCAGGAACGGUGCUCCCCCA